ensembl:lncRNA
GGCUGUUUGCGCUGCCUUUGUGUCCCUUCUGUCUGUUUCACAGAACCAUCUGCUUAAUCGUGGGCAUGAUACCUUGAUGCUUACCUGAAUCAGCAGUAAACAGGGACAGCAGCUACAGAAACACACCUGGUGGACACAGAGAGACAGCUGCCCAGCAGCUACCUCCAGCAUGUCAAACAAAAAUUUGCAUUUCUCUGUCAGGCCAGUCACCUGAUAAAAAGACACGUCGUUACAUGUCAGACGACGCUUCUGAGGAUGACUGCAGAUGCAGUCGAAACAUGUCAAGUCACCACCAGGAAAUCAUCACCUCAAUCAAAUCCAACUACUCCGAUCACCAAGCUCCACCACCAGCACCAGUCCAUGCCAAUAUGUUCUGCUUCCCCAAGCCAGCAUU